UUUUUAAUUUUUUUUUUUAUGUAUGUCCUAAUAGAGAAGCUGCCGGGGUAGUGUGCUGUCCUGACACAUGAUCAACGUUUCAUCUACUAUCUGAUCACAAAGAAAAAAGCCAGCCAGAAACCCACGUAUGUCAACCUAAGACAGAGUCUGGAAGACAUGAAAUCUCACUGCUUAGAAAAUGGUGUCAAUAGGAUAUCAAUACCCCGGUUUGUAGGAACUACUGUGAAUAAAUGACUAUAAUAAAUACCCUUAAAUCUUC